rnacentral:lncRNA from 1 species
GCUGAUCUAUACAAACAUGGCAUGAUCAUUUACGUGUGGAACUCUGUUCCGUGUGAUUAUAUUAUUGGUUUCUUGUGGGUAGAUUACUGUAGCAAAGCGUUUGUCCUUCUACAGACAAAGCAUCUUCUCAUCUUUUUGGUUGCUUCUGUUAAGUCCGAUGAAAUGUCGGCCAAAAAAUCUCAGUUCCUUUGAUCCGUCAAGAAAAAUAUAAAUGUAAAUGUUUACCAGCAGAAAAUAUCUACAUAAUAUUCUUUCCCCCCUGACUAUUGCUUGCACACAUUUCAUAUUUUUACUAUACAUUCGAAGACAAAGAAUGGAUUAAUCCAAGUCAUAUAUAUAUACUAUAGUUAUUUCCUAGCAUCUUCGGUUAGGAACCGAAUGUAUUAAGAAUUAAGUACACAGGGUUAGGUAUUUGUACAUACAAGCACCUCCAAGAUGCUAGAAAUUUACAGAUUAAUUUUUUUCUUAAUACACUCGGUUCAGUUAUCUUAUGUGGGAUGGAACAAGUGUAUGUAUGUACAAAUAUCUAACCUUUUGCUAUUAUUUUGCUAGAGCUCUUAGAUAGAUACGAUACCCCCUAGACAACACAGUAGGAUGAUUUGAUGUUCUGUUCUCUCUACUGUUACGUGGAACGUAACGAUUCUUGUCAAAAGCACACGAUCUCAAGAUAAUAAGAUGAUAUUCAUAGAUUAAAACUGAGUACAAGGUUACAGAGAUGAUAAUGGAGUCUCUUCCCUCUCUUUCUCUCCUUGGUACUACUUACUAAAACACGAGAUACCCUCCCCCAAAACCCUCACAGCUAAUAUAUAGAUAAAGCAUAAAGCUAAAGUAACCAAACCAUGGUUACUCAUUACUAAACUAGAGUUACUUCUUCUUAUCCUCUCUUAACCGAUGGCCCACUCGUAUCAUCUACUUAGAGAACACCAUUGCAUUUGCCAAAUUGCCGUUUAUAUGAUGAUUUUGUUUGUCCCUAUCUUAA